rnacentral:lncRNA from 9 species
GGCAUAUGGAAGUUCCAAGGUUAUGGGUCAAAUCAGAGCUGUACCUGCUGGCCUGCACCAGAGUCACAGCAAUGCAGGAUCCAAGCUGCAUCUGCAACCUACACCACAGCUCAUGGCAACACCAGCUCUCUAACCCACUGAGCGAGGCCAGGGAUCAAACCCAUGUCCUCAUGAAUACUGGUUGGGUUCGUUACUGUGGGGCCACAGUGGGAACUCCCAGCAUAUAUCUUUUCAAAUUAGUGUUUUAGUUUUCUUUGAAUAAAUACCCAGGAGUGGAAUUAUUGGAUCAUAUGGUCGUUCUCUUUUUAAUUUUUUGGGGAAAUUUUCUGUCUUCCAUUGUUUUCCUGGGACGUCUCAGUUUCCGAAGGAUGUUGUCCUGGAACUGCUCCAGGCAUUCUGAACCUGCUCUGGUCUUUGUUACUUUUUUGGUUUUGUGGCAAUUUCAAAUUCCUAGCUCUUCAAAAAAAAAAAAAAGAUUUUGGGAACUCUAAAUGUGAAAGUCAAUUUUUUGACCACUUGUAAAAGUCAAUAUGGACUAGACUUUGUUAUAGUAGCAGCUGCCACAUCCUAGAGUGGCAGGACACAAAAGAUUUGUCUCAUUGUUAUAGUCCUUCAGUGUGUGCCAAUAGGUCUCUGCUCAUUAUAGAUCCAGUUUGAUGCAGGCUUUAUUUCAACACAAACUUUCAUCACAUGGGAAAGGAAAAUUGAGCAUGCCUACCUCAGAGGGUCAAUUAAAUGACACUUUUUUUGGAGAAGAAUGUAGACAGACCAUUUCUGGUACCUCUGGUUACAUUUCAUUGGCCAAAGUAAGCCCACUGGUAACUUCAAACAGGGAUGACAAGUACAGUGCUACGUGUGGCCAGAAAUAGAUGCCUGAGAAUGUUUGUGGAAAGCCUUAUGAUGAACUCCCAGACAUGACUGCCUCAAGACAAUCAUGGCAGCACUUUCCUGGUUUCUGUUUUAUUUCUGCCAAGUCCUAUUAUCAGCAGGGAGGACAAUGAUAAGUAUAAUAUAUACAUAUUUUUUUUUCAAACACACAUAUAUAAACAUAAAUACAUACAUAUAUAUGUGUGUGUAUACAUAUAUGUAAAGAUUCAUUAAUGUAAAUAGUAUGAGUUUUAGGUGUAUUAGCAUAAUCACAAAGUAAAUGAUAAGUUCCUAUAUCAGUCAGGAUGCAGUUUUUCAUUAGUUCUCAUUUAUGGGUCUGGAGGCAUAAAAAAGCAUAUUGAGAAUUCUAUUCAAGACAUUAUGAUAACUAGAAAAAAAAUCAUUCCUUCUUUUCAGAUUCUCUUCAUCCUCCUCAAGGAAUCAUUUCUAUCCCAAGCUAUCAUUAUUCUCUGUGAUCACAUAGUCAGCAUAGACCUCCUGAUCUCUCCCACCCCCACUUACAGACUCAACUGGUGGUAGUUUUCCUUAUAAUCUUUCCCAUUAUAUACAGUUCAGUGCAUCUCCCAAACUCAAUGCUAUCAUCCCUGCUAUCCAGUUGUCUUCUCUUAACUAUUACAACACUAGUGCCACUCUUUUCUAUGCUAAAUAGGCUUGUCUGAGGAAAAAGAAACUAACCGAUGCAACUUCCAUAGGGAAGCUGCGAAGAUUGUGAGAAACUGCUCUCUGCUGCUCCAGGCUACAAGCAGUGCACUAGGUCUUGCCUGUUUGUUUGACAAUCUCACAGCAGGAAGUGCUGUGGGGAAAAGAGGGAAGUGAAAUAAAAAGGAAAUUGGAUGUCAAUUUUUUUUUAAGUACCAGAUCCCCUAAUAAGAGUAUUACCUUAUUGUCAAAUGUUGAAUAUUUAAAAAUUUGUCUUAGCCACACCUUUGACAACCUUGGAGUAGGUCCUCUCUCCCAAAUUAGUGUAGCUCAUUGAUUUAUUUCACCAAAAGUCACUUUUGUGCCCUGGGCUGGGCCUUCAGCAAUCACCUGUGGAUUACUACACAGCCUUAAUGCUAGCUUCCUAGUUCCAGAAUGCCCCUCCUCCAUUUCUUAAACACCUGGGAAGAAUAACUAUUGAGAUGUUAAUUUUACUUUACCCUCUUUUAUACUGGAGAUAGAAAAUAAUGAGAAGUAGAUUUUAUAUUCAACUCAAAAGUCUUUUGUUUUGAGUCUGAGCUGUUAGGUUAGCAUAAGGCUUGUGAAAUAGGAGCCAAAAGCAGAAAUUCAAAAAAUCCCAAGCACAGUCCACCAUAUCCAGGCUUUUGUGAGAAUAAGCCAGUUGAGAGGGAUUAAUGUUGAGGGUGAAGAAAGCAGAGCUGGCUCAAUAGAGAGGAAGAUGUAAUUUGUCCCAGCAAGGUGGUGGAGGGUCAGAGUUGGAACUGUGUCCAUUCCCACAGUUGGAACUGUGCCCCAAAUGACAGAGGGAUCCAUAAUAGCCUGACCAAGGUGAUAAAACGUAAAAAAGCCAUAAUGUAGGAAGCAUAGGAGCACAGGUCUUCAUACCUGAAACACGGUGAGUAUAGCAGUCUACUCUGAAAGGACCACACUGAGAAGAACGUAUCAGGAACAGCCAUUAUGAACUAAAAACCAGAACCUCCAUCCCCCUCUUGCCAUUUUUAUUGGAAUUGUGGAGAGGUUUCUCUCUACCCCAAAUGGCUGAGAGAGUAUUUCUUGCCACCUCUGGUAGACAGAGGUCAAGUCUGAUUUAUUUGAUUUAAAAAGUAACAUUAGGUAAAGUUUUCCUCAUUUGGAAAAACAUAUUCUAAAUUCAUAGCCACUGUAUCCCAUUCUUAGUAUUACACUCUCCUACUCAAAAACCUUCACUGGCCUAGAGGACUUGCUGUGUUAAAUCUCAGCCUUGUAGGUGAGGGUUCAGAGACCUCUAUGGUCAAUUCCUACCCUAACUAUAAAAAUUUAAUUUAUCCUUCUUCCCAGUACUCAUUCUCUGCUGUGGUCAGUUCACCCUUGACUUUAGCCCCAUGGACCAUUAUUUGCUCAUUCCUUGAACUCUGGCAGUUCUCAAUCCCCAUCAACAAGCAUAUACAAUAAACCACUGUACUUACACAGUCUAGAAUUAUUUGUGGUUACUUUGUUAGGUUAGAGUUCUUAAAGGGAUUAAAAAUUCUUCUGGAGCAAGAAUCAUGUCAUAUUUUAUUACCUUCACAGAGUAUAGCAAGGGGUUAAGCACAAAAUAAAUACUUCUUAAUUGUAUUGUCUGUGAAGGAUUCUCAUAAGAAGUUGCGUCUGGGUUGAAUAUCUCAUUCAGGAAGAAAGCACACCUUGCAGAACAAAAAUUAUCAUAGUAGAAAAGUACAGAAGAACUGAUCAGCGGUUUCAUCUGCUGAACAGAGUUUAGCUGAUUUGAUUGUUAUAAGAACUGGAUUGGCUAAAUUCACCCCUUAGCUCUAUAAGGUGCAAGUUGUUGCUGCCUGGGUGGCAAACAAUUAUUCCUAUUCUGAGAGAAGAACUGAGCCCCAAUGAAAGGAGCCAGAUGUUCAAAUCCCCAAACCCCUAACAGUAAAACCAAAAGCAUCAAGUCCUGAACCUGUAUUUUCUCUCAGUGCUACCUUAGUAAUUACUAAAUCAAAGGAAGUAAAGACCUGGAGAUAUAAUUAGAGGUAUGACAGAAAGGAAGAGAUUAGAGAUAACUCAAAUAAAUUAUUUGAUUCUUUGUUGCAUUUGAGAAAAGGCAAUAGGUAUAGGUGUCUCCUUUGUCUUGCAAAUACUAAACCAAAGAAUUACUAUUGUUUACUGAUCUCAUUUUUGUGUAGAAUGAUACUAAGGACAUCUGUAGACUAACAAACCACUAAUAUCUAGCGAUGUCUGUGACUAAAUAAUCACCUUUCAUAUAUGUCCUAAAAAUCAAAUCAGAAAUAUAUUUCAAAAGACAGACGCAUUUAAAAAUUGAAAACAAGUUACAUAUCAUCAUACUGAUGUUGUAAUUCAAGCUUUACUAAGAUGCAGACAAUUAAAACUAGUCCUCCUUUUGAAUCUGCCUUUGCUAUACCACUCCUCCUGGCCCCGCAUCAGAGCGAUUCUGUGAAAAUGACUGGCUUUCAUAGGUCUCUUUUUUUUCUGCUAACCUUUCUUGUUAUGAAAGGCAUAAGACAAGAACAGUCAUUGAUUGGGGAAUUGAAGCUCUCCCAUAAAAGAUGAGUAUGUCAACAGAAAUACCGUCAGCUCCUCUGCAAGCAGGUCAAAUAUUCCUUAAUCUCACUUGUGUCAGGGGAUUUCAUGACCACCGUCGGACAAGGACGGCCAAUAUUAUCUGAGUGUGAAGUCAGACCUGUUGAAACAUGUAGAAAGGGACAGACUAAACUGAAGAACAGCAGUGCCUCCUAUCAGACACACAGCUUCAUGUCUGGCUCUGUUUCAAACACCAAACGAGCUAUAUUUUCAAUUUUACUGUCUGACAUUUACCGGAGGGAAAAAGAUACAUAAGUAAUGAGGCAAAAGGGCAUGACGAGCUGCUGUGUAUUUUUACAUUACAUGAAGAAAUGAGCCUAGCAAAAAUUGCACUUGAAUUCAGAAUUAAAAAUGAAUUAAAUGAGUAUCUUUCACAUUUGUCAGAGCAUCCUCAAAAAGUCAACAGUUCUCAAUGUAUACACAUGCAGUUAAUUUUUUUAAUGUUUUUCCCUAGCAAGACAUCCCACUUGUUUUCACUGUAUUACACUGCACAUUAUUUUAGGUCAGUAUGUAAACACUGGUAUCUGGCUCUGUCUCCUCCAACUAUUCUCUUUUCUUAAUAUCCACAGCUGUGGCCAUUAUCAGCUGCCAGGUAUUUUCUAGGCAAGGUAUUAGUACUGUCCAUGCAUUCUGUUAUUUAAUUGUUAACAAAAAUCCUACACAGUAAGCAUCCUCACCAUCAUUUUAUGAAGGCAGAGAUGUUCGGCGAGGUCACAGAGCACAUUCAGUGGUGGGGCUAGCUUCUGGAGCAUAAAGUCAAGUCCUCUUCCUUUUCAGCCUCCCUCUUAGACCCCAGCACAUGUUCUGCUUCCUCUAAGUUCUUAAUAAAUACAGCAACUGACUGAAAAAAAAUAGCAGGUUAGAGCAUCAUUAAUGAAGCACCAUUAGUGUGACUACAAAUGUGUCAGUAAAUAAACCAUCACAUCAAGCCAUUUUGCUCUGAUGCACAUGCGCACACACACAUGCACACACAUGCACACACACACACACACACACACACACUCAGGCACACACAGAGAGACCAUAUUAUUUGGGACUUAAGCAUGCAGAGUCUGAUUUCUGAUCAAGCAAAAUGAAUUAACUGGAACUUAUUUAUUUAUUUAUUUAUUUAUUUGCAGUUGGGCAGUCACCUGUUUAUGAUGCCCGACACGGUAUCUGCCACCCAGAAUCUUCAGGAUUGAAUCCAAUGUCUAUGACUGUUGCUUGCUAACAAAACAAGCUUCUUAGCUUUUAAAGCCCCAGACGCUGACUUUUCUCUCAGGAUUUCCUUGUCCCAGGGUGGCUAGUGUGACAGGCAGUAGUGCAGGUGGUCAGGCUUGUAAUUAUACUCUAAUGAAAACUGCUAUUUAUGGUUGAAAGGCACCUCUGUAGUCUGGCCUGGCUCCCAGAACUUCGACUUUCUUAAUACUGUUUCACAUUUAAAAAAAUUAAAAAUAAACCUCUUCCAGGACCUGUAUGAGGUGCUUAAAAUGUCAUUACCACCUGUAAUUACAUGGAGAAUCCAAUUACCACAGCUAAGGAAUUAGAUUGCUAUGUACAAUUUGUACAUGUUGAUCAUGUUGGCUAUAAAAAUUAUAACAGGAGAAGCACACAUUGUGUGAUCUUUUAUAAAGCUUUAAAAAGGCAAUUAGAAUAUAAACAGUAAUGAGGAAUAAUAAGAAUAAAUGUUUCACAGAAGUACUAGCAUUUCACAAGCUCAGUCAUAACCUUCCUCAAAUUCAAAAAAGAGAAAAUUAUCCUCAAAUGAAAAAAAAAACCUCAUAUAAUAUUGGAAUAAACAACAAAGAAAUUUAACAGUAUUCUAAUAGAGAUGUAUUGUUAUUUUCAUAUUCACUGUGCAGACUUGACUCGUGUUCAUAACAACAUGGAAGAAUCCUCUGCAUACACUGAGACUGCUGGAAAAUGACAAGUGCUUGGAGCUCUGUGAAUGUUGGAAUCAGUGAAACAGAGCCUUCCAACCCCCUUGUGACAUUCAUCCUAGCAGUUACAUGAGUUACACUAAAUUAUGAUCAAUGUUCUUAUUGAUGCAGGAGUGGUAAAUACAGAACUGUCUGCCAGCUUAUUAUAUGGUCAGUAGCAAUGAAAGGAAUGGAAAAUGACAGAAAUAAAUAACAUAAUCUGAUCAGUUAGUGGCACACAAAGACUUCUGUGGCUCUGCUUGGUAUGACAAUAUCUGGCCUCCUGAGAGCCAC